rnacentral:rRNA from 1 species
AGGGUUCGAUUCUGGCUCAGGAUGAACGCUGGCGGCGUGCUUAACACAUGCAAGUCGAACGGGAUCCAUCAGGCUUUGCUUGGUGGUGAGAGUGGCGAACGGGUGAGUAAUGCGUGACCGACCUGCCCCAUACACCGGAAUAGCUCCUGGAAACGGGUGGUAAUGCCGGAUGCUCCGACAUGACGCAUGUCGUGUCGGGAAAGAUUCUAUCGGUAUGGGAUGGGGUCGCGUCCUAUCAGGUAGUCGGCAGGGUAACGGCCCACCGAGCCUACGACGGGUAGCCGGCCUGAGAGGGCGACCGGCCACAUUGGGACUGAGAUACGGCCCAGACUCCUACGGGAGGCAGCAGUGGGGAAUAUUGCACAAUGGGCGCAAGCCUGAUGCAGCGACGCCGCGUGCGGGAUGACGGCCUUCGGGUUGUAAACCGCUUUUGAUCGGGAGCAAGCCUUCGGGUGAGUGUACCUUUCGAAUAAGCACCGGCUAACUACGUGCCAGCAGCCGCGGUAAUACGUAGGGUGCAAGCGUUAUCCGGAAUUAUUGGGCGUAAAGGGCUCGUAGGCGGUUCGUCGCGUCCGGUGUGAAAGUCCAUCGCUUAACGGUGGAUCUGCGCCGGGUACGGGCGGGCUGGAGUGCGGUAGGGGAGACUGGAAUUCCCGGUGUAACGGUGGAAUGUGUAGAUAUCGGGAAGAACACCAAUGGCGAAGGCAGGUCUCUGGGCCGUUACUGACGCUGAGGAGCGAAAGCGUGGGGAGCGAACAGGAUUAGAUACCCUGGUAGUCCACGCCGUAAACGGUGGAUGCUGGAUGUGGGGCCCGUUCCACGGGUUCCGUGUCGGAGCUAACGCGUUAAGCAUCCCGCCUGGGGAGUACGGCCGCAAGGCUAAAACUCAAAGAAAUUGACGGGGGCCCGCACAAGCGGCGGAGCAUGCGGAUUAAUUCGAUGCAACGCGAAGAACCUUACCUGGGCUUGACAUGUUCCCGACGACGCCAGAGAUGGCGUUUCCCUUCGGGGCGGGUUCACAGGUGGUGCAUGGUCGUCGUCAGCUCGUGUCGUGAGAUGUUGGGUUAAGUCCCGCAACGAGCGCAACCCUCGCCCCGUGUUGCCAGCACGUUAUGGUGGGAACUCACGGGGGACCGCCGGGGUUAACUCGGAGGAAGGUGGGGAUGACGUCAGAUCAUCAUGCCCCUUACGUCCAGGGCUUCACGCAUGCUACAAUGGCCGGUACAACGGGAUGCGACACGGCGACGUGGAGCGGAUCCCUGAAAACCGGUCUCAGUUCGGAUUGGAGUCUGCAACCCGACUCCAUGAAGGCGGAGUCGCUAGUAAUCGCGGAUCAGCAACGCCGCGGUGAAUGCGUUCCCGGGCCUUGUACACACCGCCCGUCAAGUCAUGAAAGUGGGCAGCACCCGAAGCCGGUGGCCUAACCCCUUGUGGGAUGGAGCCGUCUAAGGUGAGGCUCGUGAUUGGGACUAAGUCGUAACAAGGUAGCCGUACCGGAAGGUGCGGCUG